rnacentral:rRNA from 1 species
CAGGAUUAGAUACCCUGGUAGUCCACGCCGUAAACGAUGUCGACUUGGAGGUUGUUCCCUUGAGGAGUGGCUUCCGGAGCUAACGCGUUAAGUCGACCGCCUGGGGAGUACGGCCGCAAGGUUAAAACUCAAAUGAAUUGACGGGGGCCCGCACAAGCGGUGGAGCAUGUGGUUUAAUUCGAUGCAACGCGAAGAACCUUACCUACUCUUGACAUCCAGAGAACUUAGCAGAGAUGCUUUGGUGCCUUCGGGAACUCUGAGACAGGUGCUGCAUGGCUGUCGUCAGCUCGUGUUGUGAAAUGUUGGGUUAAGUCCCGCAACGAGCGCAACCCUUAUCCUUUGUUGCCAGCGAUUCGGUCGGGAACUCAAAGGAGACUGCCGGUGAUAAACCGGAGGAAGGUGGGGAUGACGUCAAGUCAUCAUGGCCCUUACGAGUAGGGCUACACACGUGCUACAAUGGCGCAUACAAAGAGAAGCGACCUCGCGAGAGCAAGCGGACCUCAUAAAGUGCGUCGUAGUCCGGAUCGGAGUCUGCAACUCGACUCCGUGAAGUCGGAAUCGCUAGUAAUCGUGGAUCAGAAUGCCACGGUGAAUACGUUCCCGGGCCUUGUACACACCGCCCGUCACACCAUGGGAGUGGGUUGCAAAAGAAGUAGGUAGCUUAACCUUCGGGAGGGCGCUUACCACUUUGUGAUUCAUGACUGGGGUGAAGUCGUAACAAGGUAAC